rnacentral:tRNA from 1 species
UGGGGUAUAGCUCAGUGGUAGAGUACUUGCCUAGCAUGCAAGAUGCCCUGGGUUAGAUCCACAGUACUGAAA